GCCCGGGUGGCGCAACUGGCAGCGCAAUCGAUUUGUAAUCGAUAGGUUAGGGGUUCGAGUCCCCUCCUGGGCUCCA
rnacentral:tRNA from 2 species